rnacentral:lncRNA from 1 species
AGAAAAAAAUGAAAUGAAGUGAAUGAAUACCAUCCAUUAUUUUAUAACUGAUUCCAUUGUGGGAUUGGUAGGGUUAGUGGAGUGAAUAGCUUUUAUUUUCAGUUGUAAGAAUCCAGAAUUGUAUUUGGUUCCAUUUUGAAAUAUAUAAAGGGGAUCUGCAAUGUAAAAUAUGAAAGAUAUUUGUACUGAUUAUAUUCCUCAAUGUUUAAAAGGUAUCUUUACUUUUACAGUUUUUAAAAUAAUUUGCUUGAUAUAAAUUUCUCAUAAAAUCAGGAUUAAGCUUGUAAAUUAAAUUUUUGAUGAUAAAAUCAUGGUCUCAUAAACAGCCAAUGAUUGGGAAAUAGCAUUAAAAAAAACUGGUUUUUUUGUUAGAAAUUUGGUUAAGUUUGGAUUAAGCAUCUAAAUCAUUUUGGAUAUGUAUGACAGCAAUUACUUUUAGUCUCUAUGCCCAUGAUAGGAUUACUCAGAAAAUUGAAGGAUGGGCUUUUAAUAAGUGUCAGACUCCUCCUGAAAACUGGAUGUAUGUGAUUUAUUUUUUCUAUAGUGAAUAGUCAUGGAGAAAAUUCAGGACCUUUCUAUAGAGAGGUUGUGCUAAACAAGCACUGCUUACACUAUAAUUAAUUAUUAUACACACAGUGAACAGUUUGUAUGAUGGUCCAACAUCAAACACAAUGAACAACAAUUGGUAUGAAGAAGUAAAUUCAUAAUAGCUUUCCUUGAAAAUCCUAAAUGUUUCUUCAUCCUUUAGCACAUAUCCAGAUGGCUAGGUAACAAACACAAUGGCUUUCCAGGUAAUUUAUUAAAAUUGUUCUAUUAAAGAGUUGAAUUAAAAAAUUAUAUUAUGAACAGAAUCAGAUUUACUCAAAUAAUAGUUGCAAUUCUAAAGAUUGUAAUAAACAUUGCUUUACUAAGUUGCUGUCUGGCUGAUGCUGGGAAUUUGGAUAUACAAAAAUCACUUAAAUAUUCCAUUUUUACUUUUAUGCAAUAUUUUCUUUAUUUUUACUUAUAUGAAGUUAUGGUAAGCAUGAGAAGCACAUUUUUCUCAUUUUAAAGAAUAAACAGUAUUUAUUCAAUACAAUCCUA